rnacentral:rRNA from 1 species
UACAGAGGUCCCAGGCGUUGUUCGGAUUCACUGGGCGUAAAGGGUGCGUAGGUGGUCGGGUAAGUCUGAUGUGAAAUCUUCGAGCUCAACUCGAAAAUGGCAUUGGAUACUAUUCGGCUGGAGGGUUGGAAAGGGGACUGGAAUUCUCGGUGUAGCAGUGAAAUGCGUAGAUAUCGAGAGGAACACCGGUGGCGAAGGCGAGUCCCUGGACAAUUCCUGACACUGAGGCACGAAAGCUAGGGGAGCAAACAGG